UACGGAGGGUGCAAACGUUAUCCGGAAUCACUGGGCGUAAAGAGCAUGUAGGUGGCUAGAUAAGUGGGCGAUUAAAGACCGAUGCUUAACAUCGGGACUGUUGCCUAUACUGUCUGGCUUGAGGAUGACAGGGGUACAUGGAACUUUGGGUGUAGGGGUGAAAUCCGUAGAUAUCCAAAGGAACACCAAUGGCGAAGGCAAUGUACUGGGUUUUUUCCUGACACUGAGAUGCGAAAGCGUGGGGAGCGAACGGG
rnacentral:rRNA from 1 species